UAUCCCCAAAUCAAAAUCCCUAAAUCAAACCCCCCAUCCUUCUUCAGUUCUUCUUCAUCGGUUUUUAAAGUUAGGCAAAUCCCUCACUGUCCCUCACCGUAGCUAUGCGUACUUGGUGUUGCUAAUAUUGUUGCUGUAAAAGCUACUGCUAUGGAAAAGGUUGUUGAUGUUGUUGUUACUGCAAAAUAAAAUACCAUUGGAUCUCCGAAACUAGCGUACCUUCUGGCCGCUUCAUUCUCUUCAGUCUUCACUCUUCACCUCGACUUUCUACAUUUCCUUGACCCUAGACCCAGCAGCCCAGUUAGUUUAUGUAAAUUCGAUGACCGCCAUUGAAUCGAGGAAAUCUCGGUCUUGUGGAUGUUAUCUUCAGCUUUCAGAAUGAAAGUUUGUCUUAUUGAAGUGUUGGAUUCUAUAGGACCUUCAACAAGUGGAGACAAAGGCAAAGAAAAGAUUGUCUAAGCUUUCGGCUUUUCGACGAAAGCAUAUUCCUGAUAAGUAGUGCUAGUGUGAGCGGUGUGGCCUUCAAGGGAGUGAUCCAAGCUGAUUAUUUAGCUUCUAUUAGUAGGUGUUAUAUGCUUAUUUAUGUUUAGGGAAUAAAGACAAUGUAAUAGGCCAAUAAGGUAGAUUUUAUAUCGGUUAUGGUAAGUCAAUUUUUGGGUUGGUUGCAUGUUAUUUAUGUUUGGAAGUUUAUGGACUUGAACAUGAUAUUAGUCUACUAUUUCAGAUAUUUUGAUGUUUCUUUAACUAGGUGAAUGAAACAUGUUGUUUGGGAUUAAGUUUGAA